rnacentral:tRNA from 3 species
AGCCCCAAGGUGUUCAACAUAUGAGAUUGCAAAUCUUAAGAGGCAGACUAAUACCUGCUGGGGCUU